rnacentral:rRNA from 1 species
CACGAAAUCAGGCGAGCUACUGUGGGGCGUAUGUUAGUGCAAUGUAUGUGACAUAAUAAAGGUAGAUUCCAUAGUAGGAGUGAAAGGCUAUCAAGUCUGAUGAUAUCUUGUUAACUUUGAGAUGUAUUAAGUACUUUGUCGAUUUAUUAGUGAUAAGGCUGAUAAAUGUUAUGUAAUUUGAUUAUUCUUCAUUGACAUAGUUUAAUCGCUAGUAUCCCUUUGACAUGAAUAUUAAUAUUUACUGUUAAUAGAAAAUAAAAGUUAAUAUUUAAUCAUAAUAAAUAUUUAUAAUGUGGGUAUUAGUAACUUAGAUAUCACUGAUGAACUCGGCAAUAUUUCUUUCACCUGUUUAUCAAAAACAUCGCCAGUAGAAGGUAUUAUUGGUCGAUUCUGCUCCAUGUACUAUAAAUAGCCGCAGUACCCUGACUGUGCAAAGGUAGCAUAAUCAUUUGGCUUAUAAUUGAAGUCUAGUAUGAACGAAUGUAUGGGGGAAAACUCUAUUGGUGAUAUUUGUUGAAUUUGCUUAGUAGGUGUAAAUACCUACUGCUAAAUAAAAGACGAGAAGACCCUAGAAAUUUUAAUGACACGCUAAGAUAAGUUUUUGUUGGGGCAACAUAGUAGCAUUUAACCUACAAUAAUAACACGUCAUAUUAUAGUUAGUUUAAAUUACUCUAGGGAUAACAGCGUAAUUCUGCAUGAGUUUGCGACCUCGAUGUUGGACUAGGGAGCGGAUGCUUAGAA